rnacentral:tRNA from 1 species
GUGGGUAUAGUGCAGCGGUCUAACACGCCAGGUUGUGGCCCUGGAAAUCGAGGGUUCAAGUCCCUCUACCCACCCCA